rfam:Planctomyces sp. SH-PL14, complete genome.
CUCGGUGACUUUAUCUAGAGGGUCACACUCGUUCCCAUUCCGAACACGACCGUUAAGCCUCUGGAGCCGAUGAUAGUGCCGAAAGGUGCGAAAGUAGGUUAUUGCCGGGA